rnacentral:rRNA from 1 species
UACGAAGGGGGCUAGCGUUGUUCGGAAUUACUGGGCGUAAAGGGCGCGUAGGUGGUGUGUCAAGUCAGGCGUGAAAGCCCCGGGCUCAACCUGGGAACCGCGCUUGAGACUGGCACGCUCGAGUUCGGGAGAGGAUGGUGGAAUUCCCAGUGUAGAGGUGAAAUUCGUAGAUAUUGGGAAGAACACCGAUGGCGAAGGCAGCCAUCUGGACCGACACUGACGCUGAGGCGCGAAAGCGUGGGGAGCAAACAGG